rnacentral:rRNA from 1 species
GGUCAAGUGAAUAAGCGCAUACGGUGAAUGCCUAGGCAGUAAGAGGCGAAGAAGGACGUUGUAGCAUGCGAUAAGCUGCGGGGAGUUUGCAAACAAACUUUGAUCCGCAGAUUUCCGAAUGGGGAAACCCAAUGGGCACAAGCUCAUUAUCUUAUCCUGAAUACAUAGGGGUAAGAGGCGAACCGGGAGAACUGAAACAUCUAAGUACCCCGAGGAAAAGAAAUCAACCGAGAUUCCCUAAGUAGUGGCGAGCGAACGGGGACCAGCCCUUAAGCAUUUAGCAAGUUAGUAGAACAGUCUGGAAAGUCUGGCGAUACAGCGUGAUAGCCGCGUAUACGAAAACUUAUUAAGUGUGAAAUCGAGUAGGUCGGAGCACGUGAAACUUUGACUGAACAUGGGGGGACCAUCCUCCAAGGCUAAAUACUCCUUACUGACCGAUAGUGAACCAGUACCGUGAGGGAAAGGCGAAAAGAACCCCGGAGAGGGGAGUGAAAUAGAUCCUGAAACCGUAUGCGUACAAGCAGUGGGAGCCCCGCACCUAAAUUGUUUUGGGCGGAGACUCUUCAGCGUUAACUUAACGUCAUCGAACACUGAGCGAUAGUGCCUAAAUAAGGAAUUUAGGUGCGGGGCAGGCCCCGCUAUGAUGACAAAAAAUAACAAAGAAGAGACUUGAGAUCGAAUGUAUUAUGCUUAUGUGCUUCAAUCGGAAGCAGAAGAUGAUAGGUUUUACCUGGGAAGUACGACGGAUUUAAAACGUCGUAGGCAAGAACAUAACCAAGGUAAAAAUAAGUCCACGAGAGGAUAUCAAUGGAAAUUGGUGUACUACGAAGCUUAUCUAUCUGAAGCCGAAUCUAGAGAACGAGAACAUAAACUCAAGCAAGACGGUCGAGCCAAACGGUUCUUAAUGCAGCGCAUUAAGACGAGUUUAAAAACAACUUAGGGGCUUGCCCCGCACCUAAAUUCCCAAUUAGAUGCGAGGUAAGUCAAUGAAUCACAGUGCUCAAUAAAGCAUUGUAGAUAUCCGUGCCAGAAUAAUUUAGGUGCGGGGUGACUGCGUACCUUUUGUAUAAUGGGUCAGCGACUUACAUUUUGUGGCCAGCUUAACCGACUAGGGGAGGCGUAGCGAAAGCGAGUCUUAAUAGGGCGUUUAGUCGCAAGGUGUAGACCCGAAACCGGGCGAUCUAUCCAUGGCCAGGUUGAAGAUCAGGUAAUACUGAUUGGAGGACCGAACCCACUUAUGUUGAAAAAUGAGGGGAUGAGCUGUGGAUCGGAGUGAAAGGCUAAUCAAGCCCGGAGAUAGCUGGUUCUCCUCGAAAGCUAUUUAGGUAGCGCCUCGUGUAUGACUGCUGGGGGUAGAGCACUGUUUCGGCUAGGGGGUCAUCCCGACUUACCAACCCGAUGCAAACUCCGAAUACCAGCAAGUUUGAGCACGGGAGACACACGGCGGGUGAUAAGGUCCGUCGUGGAAAGGGAAACAGCCCAGACCGUCAGCUAAGGUCCCCAAAUCUAUGCUCAGUGGAAAACGAUGUGAGAAGGCCCAGACAGCCAGGAGGUUGGCUUAGAAGCAGCCAUCCUUUAAAGAAAGCGUAAUAGCUCACUGGUCGAGUCGGCUUGCGCGGAAGAUUUACCGGGGCUAAGCAUAGUACCGAAGCUACGGAUCAGCACAUUCCACUUUAGCUUAUUUGAGAGACGAUUGUGAGCGCGGUAGCGCGAACAAAGCGCCCAUCACGAUGAGGCGAGCCGUCAGAGAGUAAGUUAAAGGGAAUGUGCUGGUGGUAGAGGAGCGUUCUGUACGCCUGCGAAGGGAAGUUGAGAAGCUUCCUGGAGGUAUCAGAAGUGCGAAUGCUGACAUGAGUAACGAUAAUGGAGGUGAAAAACCUCCACGCCGAAAGCCCAAGGUUUCCUGCGCAACGUUAAUCGACGCAGGGUUAGUCGGCACCUAAGGCGAGGCCGAAAGGCGUAGUCGAUGGAAAACAGGUUAAUAUUCCUGUACUUGUUAUAACUGCGAUGGGGUGACGGAGAAGGCUAGGUCAGCUGCCUGUUGGAAUAGGUAGUUUAAGCGUGUAGGGAGUGAAAUUAGGCAAAUCCGGUUUCACAAUCCUGAGGCGUGACGACGAGUCUCUUUAUAAGGAGACGAAGUGAUUGAUGCCCUGCUUCCAAGAAAACCCUCUAAGCUUCAGGUUAUGACGAGCCGUACCCCAAACCGACACAGGUGGGUGGGAUGAGAAUUCUAAGGCGCUUGAGAGAACUCGGGUGAAGGAACUAGGCAAAAUGGUACCGUAACUUCGGGAGAAGGUACGCCCUUGUUAGGUGAAGGCCCUGCGGCUGGAGCUGAAGAGGGUAGCAUUAAACUGGUGGCUGCGACUGUUUAGCAAAAACAUAGCACUCUGCAAACACGAAAGUGGACGUAUAGGGUGUGACGCCUGCCCGGUGCCGGAAGGUUAAUUGAUGGGGUUACCCCUCACCUAGAUUAUUUAGAGCCAUGUAUUACGUUUACGUG